UACGGAGGGUGCGAGCGUUAAUCGGAAUUACUGGGCGUAAAGGGUGCGUAGGUGGUUUAAUAAGUUAGCUGUGAAAUUCCUGGGCUUAACCUGGGGUGGUCAGCUAAGACUGUUAGACUAGAGUAUGGGAGAGGGUAGUGGAAUUUCCGGUGUAGCGGUGAAAUGCGUAGAGAUCGGAAGGAACACCAGUGGCGAAGGCGGCUACCUGGCCUAAUACUGACACUGAGGCACGAAAGCGUGGGGAGCAAACAGG
rnacentral:rRNA from 1 species